CGGGGAGUGGCGUAGCCUGGUUAACGCGCACGUCUGGGGGGCGUGAGAGCGGGGGUUCAAAUCCCCCCUCCCCGA
rnacentral:tRNA from 1 species